UGAUUUCCUCUUGUUAGAGUCAAGUUUAUUAUGUUCUAGUGUACAAUUUUGUUCAUACUACUGUGGCUUUAGUUUUGCUGAUAGUUUCAUGCUAUGUGAUGGCCUUAUUUCAGUCACAAUUGAAUGAGGCUAUUUUAAGAGAGGAUUAUGGAGAAGCUGCAAAGCUGAAGUUGGCCAUAACUGGUGCUACAAAAAGGAUAUUGUUGGAGCAGCAUUGACUAUUAUGAAUAGAGCUAUAGAGGAAGAGCGAUACAUCGAUGCAACUUUCAUUCGUGAUCAUGUUGGGGCAGGACUGCUACAUGAAGCUAUUCACUCCAUUGAGCUUUAUUCAUUUUG